UUAAGGCUGAGAACUGAUGACGAGUGUUCCUCGGAACAUGAAGUGCUUGAUGCCAUGCUUCCAGGAAAAGCCUCUAAGCUUCAGGUAAAAAGAGACCGUACUCCAAACCGACACAGGUGAUCAGGUAGAGAAUACCAAGGCGCUUGAGAGAACUCGGGUGAAGGAACUAGGCAAAAUGGCACCGUAACUUCGGGAGAAGGUGCACCGCUUUUGGUGAUGGGAUUUACUCCCUAAGCUGAGGGCGGUCGAAGAUACCAGGCCCCUGCAACUGUUUAUUAAAAACACAGCACUCUGCUAACACGUAAGUGGACGUAUAGGGUGUGACGCCUGCCCGGUGCCGGAAGGUUAAUUGAUGGGGUUAGCGCAAUCGAAGCUCUUGAUCGAAGCCCCGGUAAACGGCGGCCGUAACAAUAACGGUCCUAAGGUAGCGAAAUUCCUUGUCGGGUAAGUUCCGACCUGCACGAAUGGCGUAAUGAUGGGGGCGCUGUCUCCACCCGAGACUCAGUGAAAUUGAAAUCGCGGUUAAGAUGCCGUGUACCCGCGGCUAGACGGAAAGACCCCGUGAACCUUUACUAUAGCUUUGCACUGAACUUUGAACCUAUCUGUGUAGGAUAGGUGGGAGGCUUUGAAGUCGGGACGCUAGUUUCGAUGGAGCCAUCCUUGAAAUACCACCCUGGUAUGUUUGAGGUUCUAACGUCGGCCCCUUAUCGGGGUUACGGACAGUGUAUGGUGGGUAGUUUGACUGGGGCGGUCUCCUCCCAAAGAGUAACGGAGGAGCACGAAGGUGUGCUAAUCAUGGUCGGAAAUCAUGAGGUUAGUGUAAAGGCAAAAGCACGCUUGACUGCGAGACAGACAUGUCGAGCAGGUACGAAAGUAGGUCUUAGUGAUCCGGCGGUUCUGUAUGGAAGGGCCAUCGCUCAACGGAUAAAAGGUACUCCGGGGAUAACAGGCUGAUACCGCCCAAGAGUUCACAUCGACGGCGGUGUUUGGCACCUCGAUGUCGGCUCAUCACAUCCUGGGGCUGAAGCCGGUCCCAAGGGUAUGGCUGUUCGCCAUUUAAAGUGGUACGCGAGCUGGGUUUAGAACGUCGUGAGACAGUUCGGUCCCUAUCUGCCGUGGGCGUUGGAGAUUUGAGAAGAGUUGUUCCUAGUACGAGAGGACCGGAAUGAACGAACCUCUGGUGUUCGGGUUGUCAUGCCAAUGGCAUUGCCCGGUAGCUACGUUCGGACGGGAUAACCGCUGAAAGCAUCUAAGCGGGAAGCCUCCUUCAAGAUGAGAUCUCCCUGGGACUUUAAGUCCCCUAAAGAGCCGUUGAAGACUACGACGUUGAUAGGUUGGGUGUGGAAGCGCAGCGAUGCGUUGAGCUAACCAAUACUAAUUGCUCGUGCGGCUUGACCU
rnacentral:rRNA from 1 species